UGGGGAAUAUUGGACAAUGGGGGAAACCCUGAUCCAGCGACGCCGCGUGAGUGAAGAAGUAUUUCGGUAUGUAAAGCUCUAUCAGCAGGGAAGAAAAUGACGGUACCUGACUAAGAAGCCCCGGCUAACUACGUGCCAGCAGCCGCGGUAAUACGUAGGGGGCAAGCGUUAUCCGGAUUUACUGGGUGUAAAGGGAGCGCAGACGGCAAUGCAAGUCUGAAGUGAAAGGCGUGGGCUCAACCCAUGAACUGCUUUGGAAACUGUAUAGCUUGAGUGUCGGAAGGGUAAGCGGAAUUCCUAGUGUAGCGGUGAAAUGCGUAGAUAUUAGGAGGAACACCGGAGGCGAAGGCGGCUUACUGGACGACAACUGACGUUGAGGCUCGAAGGCGUGGGGAGCAAACAGGAUUAGAUACCCUGGUAGUCCACGCAGUAAACGAUGAAUACUUGGUGUCGGGGAGGUAAACUCUUCGGUGCCGCAAGCUAACGCAUUAAGUAUUCCACCUGGGGAGUACGUUCGCAAGAAUG
rnacentral:rRNA from 1 species